UUCCAGUGGCUGCCUAGACCGACAUUCGUUUGCACCAAUAAAUCCCUAAAUCCUUUUGUCGUCUCUCUAACGCAUCCACAUCCAAGAAGAAUCAGUUUUCCACCCCUCCCCCUUCUCUCUACUGUUAUCCUUGAAAGCACACCGUCGAUCGAUUUUGCUCCUUCUACUACUAUGUUCUUUCAUCUUUCUUCUGUAUCUUCUAUUUUCCUUUCAGUUUGGGCUUUAGAAAAACGGCAGUCCUCGAUGGCGGUAGUGUAGACGAUCUAAGACAAUUAUAAGACGAUUUUUGCAAGUAUGUUUUAUCGGCCCGCUUUUGAUACAGAAUUUCAUCUUCAAUUGAUAUCGGGCACGAUUUUGCAGUUGGUGUAAUUGCUUCGUUCUAUGUUUGCAUCGGCUGGCUGGGUUGGAGCCGAUCUAAUUUUGCAUUGCCUGACUGGGUUGGAUAAAGCUCCCCACCAUCUAUGUGAAUGUGUUUAUUUGUGUGUGUAUUUAUGGCUACGGUUGUGUAUAUGUGUAUUUGUGUGUAUUUAUGUUUCUUUGCGUCUUUUCCAGUAUUUAUUAUUAUGAUUCUCUCUUUUCUCCUUCUCUGCUAUGUUCAGAUCUUGAAGAUGGUUUGUUAUUUGCCAUUAGCACUGCCUUCACCACUUACAUGGCCUUCACUACUCAUCUCCAUUAAUGAAGAAUGAUAGUUUAUUUUGGACUUUUUGCAGAUAUAGUCCCAGGGAUUUUUUUUUUACUAGAACAGAUCUAGAUGGGGAGCUUUACCCAGUUUAAUGUGUCAGACAAAUGAAGACAGAUGAGGAACUACUUAUGGUUUUUAGCUGGCGAGAGUUACGAAUUUCAGUUUAUUACCACCUGAGCAUUGACAAUAUUUCAUAGAAAGGGAACAGGAUGCGCCUCUCAUUGAAGUUGCUUUCCAAAGAUGUUUACUUGAAGAGAAACUCCGUCAUGAAACCCAUCAACAUAUAGACCUAUUUGCAGAUGGUAUAGACAAGAAAAGGCUUUCAAAAUACCAAUAUACAAAGUGCUUACAACUUGGAAAUGGUACUGGUGUGGACAAGAAAGUAAUAGCAGAUGUCUCUGAAGGUUUAGAAAAACACAGAAAUUGUAUAUAUUAACCAGUGUAAUGAUCUUUCCCAAAGACGAUAAUCUGAAAACUUUGAAUCUGCAUCGGGAGUUAUCGAUGAAGCUCUACAAAUAAGCAUCUGUUGGGUAAAUUUCUCCGGAUCAAAAGCAGACACCCUAUUCAUGUUCAGUAAAAAAAAUUUAAAAUCACUAAACCUAAUGGUCAAUUUGAUCAAAACAAAUUUAAAUUAGUUAUUUUUGGAUGCUGACAUCACUAUUUUUUUCUCCUUUUUUGCUUUUUUUAUAACAAUAACCCGAAUGAUGUUUACAAUAUUGGUCUCAUGUAUCAGGUUCUUAUGAUUUAAGCAUGAGAAUGAUAAGAUAUGAGGUUUGUAGCAUUCUAUUACUUAAUAGCUUUAUCAUUUUUUUUUCAUAUUUUUCUCUUUAGGUUGUUAUACGUAAUGAGAUGUGAUUGCAUGGUGCAGUGGACAGCAGCUAUAGUAAGUCUAGAUUAUGACAACAAUGUAGAUAAAAGUUUUGGAGGAGAAGUAGUGGCUAGAUGGUUAAUAGUUCUUAUUAGAAAAAGAAAGAAAAUUUUGCUACAUCAUGGUUUUAAUAAAAAAAAAUAUUUUUAUCAAUGCGGCUAUUACAAACUGGAAAAAGAUUCCUCGUUAUUCAAACAUAAGCUCAAAAACAUUAGAGGAGGAACGGGCCAUACAUUCCAAGAAUUUCCAUGGCAUCCACACAUUCUAUCUCAUGGACCUUAUCACACCCGAUGAUAUAGGCCGUUUUUGGAAGACAUACAAUCAAUGUAAGUUUUAUCUACCUUUUUAGGAACCCAGAGUAUUGGAACUACGCUGAUGAAUUAUCUAAUGCUCUAUUUUUAGAGUUAUUGAUUUCUGACCGCAUCAUCAUUUUUUACUUUCAAUGAAUCUAACAUGCGAUUUAAGAUAUUAUGUAGGUUGACAAAAAAAAUAACCAAUUUCCAGUUCUGCCAUUAUUGAUAUGUGGUUAUAUCAUCUUUUUUUUUUAUCUGAUGUUGUAAAAGAGUUAAAUAUUGAGAUAAUUGUACACUUCAUAUAUCGAAAAUUUUGAAUGCACAUAUAGAAAGUGGUAAUCCAAUGUCAAAUGAUGUCUUUAAUAGCACGUCAAAUUAAUUUAUUUGAAAAAGUUUGAUAAGAAAACAUAAAGUUCAAGUGGUUAGACAACAAAAUUGUACGACAUAUAAGGUCUUUUUUUGUAGUAUGUUUUUUAUUAAAUAACAAAAUUUCAAUUAUACCAUCAGAUUUGUACUUUUUUCAUUAUAUAAAAAUGAAAGAUACAGGUUCCAAAUUAUGCUAUCACCUAUGUUGGGAAUGGAGGAUGUUGUCAAAACUAUAGUCGGUAGAGCCCAGCCACAUAACUAGGGUAUGGUAGCAGUAGAAAGGAUGAAGAGGGUUAAGGCGGUGGUAAAAGAAUUUGAUGCUAGAUUUUGCCCCGGAUACUAAUAUCAACUUGCCCUCAACCUGCCCUUUUGAUCAGUUAAAGCCACAGUCACAUGCAGAUUGUUGAACUCAAAUUCAAUGGAACUGCAGGAACUUGCUUUUACUUCAUCGUUAUUUGUAUUAGAUAGGUUUGAGUGUUGUAAUCGGUUAUUUCUGCAUUUAAGUUUAGUUAAAUACAAUAAAUAGCAACCUAUUUUCAUAAAUAUGUCUAUUGUUUCGUCCUCC